AAGUCGUAACAAGCUUGUUUCCGUAGGUGAACUGUGGAAGGAUCAUUAACACGUAUCCAACGUUAAAACAACCCCCGUGAACUUUCAGCUUGCUCCUGUAGCGCGUGAAAACAGCAAUCCUGGUUGUGACCGCUUUUGAGUCAGGGACCUCUGCCGAUUGUGAUAUUUUAUAGCUACGGUUGAGCGAUUGCAUCGAGUGACCUAAGUAGUGUCAUUGAUUAUGUCGCAGUCACGAUCGCUGUAGGCCCACACGGCCGUCAAACGAAUUGGCCGCGCGUGAAAUUCGCACGGCACCAAAAACCGAACAACUGUUAUCUUGGUUCUC
rnacentral:misc_RNA from 1 species